rnacentral:rRNA from 1 species
UACAGAGGUCUCAAGCGUUGUUCGGAUUCAUUGGGCGUAAAGGGUGCGUAGGCGGCGCGGUAAGUCGGGUGUGAAAUCUUGGAGCUUAACUCCGAAACUGCAUUCGAUACUGCCGUGCUUGAGGACUGGAGAGGAGACUGGAAUUUACGGUGUAGCGGUGAAAUGCGUAGAGAUCCGGAGGAACACCAGAGGCGAAGGCGGCCUACUGGGCUGCACCUGACGCUGAGCCGCGAAAGCCAGGGGAGCGAACGGG